rnacentral:piRNA from 1 species
UGCACUUGGGCGUUGGGUCAUG